CUUCGCCUCGCUUUUGGCUCCUGGGUCUCUGAAGGGUGGAGGCGCCGGGCUGGAGGCUGGGGAAGGUUUGCUCGAAAGGAGGAGGAGGAGGAAUUAAUGUCGACUCCUUGAUUGAUGAAGUUUGAAAUGUCUCCAAGACAGCGGGGAAGGAAGUCAGACACUCGGCGAGCGAUGGCUGGCUGUUUAUAAACCCAAUCUCCCUCUCAAAUUCAAAAUUCAUGGCUUUCAAUGGUGGGGGAGGGGGCCUGCUGGGGGGGGCGUCAGGAGGGAGGAUCGGAAGGGACCCCCCCUCCUGCCCCCCCCAGGUUUAUGUGAUGGAGCGAUUUUGGGAGGGGGAGAUUUCGCUCUUUCUCUCUCUCUGUUUUUGUUUUUUUUGUUUUUUUUUUUUUUAUUUUGGGCCUUUAUAAUUGUAUAUUGCUGAUAAAUACAAGCGUAUGGGGACUCUCUCUAUUAAACCCAGGACUCCGGCGAAAUUGCAGGGAAUUCAUGGUCACGGGACUGGCCUCGGCCAAUCGCUUGUCUGGGCCUGGUGGAAAACAGAGAGCAUUAUUUGCUUUAAUUGAUUCAAAAACUCUAGAGAACCACGACCUGGACACCGUGAGCCCCCAGUCCUACACUCCCUCUCCCCAGUGCUUCCCUUUCUCCAGAAAAGCUAGAGGAACCUUUCUCUCACCCCCUUCAGAAGAUGGGAGGCUCCAAAAGGUGGAAAACAAGAGAAUCUAAGGGAGAAGUCUUCCUCUCUUCCAAAUAUUUUUAAUAGAAUACAUUAGUGCUUUCUUUAUAAUGCCAGCCGUAUUAUCUUCCCCACUCUCCCCCCAUUAAAAAAAAAAAGAAAGAAAGAAAGAAAGCUGAGUAAGGAUCUCAGAGUGAAAGAAAAAGAUAGUAGAAAGAGACUUCCAUCCUUUGGGAAAGGUCAGUGUUAAGGUGCAAUAAGGAAGAGGAGAGAUUUACAAUCAUCAGCACCUCCAUCCCCAUCCCACCCCCCCCCCAAAAGCAACAGAUAAAUCUUAGAAAAUCGACAGACACUCCCAGGCUGACACAGAGGAGUGAGAUAGAUGGUGAGGGGCUCUUUGGGGCUCUGGCAGCCAAAGCUGUGUGGUCUCAGUUCCCUUCUCUGCCCAGUGUUUGCAGCACUUGUCCACCUGCCUUCCUCACCUGGAGCCAUCUCACUCCUUUUCAGGACCCCACAACAGCCAGGGUGUAAGGUGCCUAUGCUCUCCCUCAAGCCUCAAGCCUAUAUCUGUAUCUAUAUCCAGGGACAUGAACAAGAACCAAGGUAGUAGGAGAUUUAACUUAGAGCACUCUCAAACCUCAGGCCAAUGUUUGGGGGGAGGAAUCCCCGCCCAGGACAAAGAGAAUCCCCCUUCCUAUUUUUGCCAGUGUGCUAGUUUUAAUCAUCAUCAUCAUCCCUGGCAAGAAAGAAUUCUCUGAGCACGGAGAGGGUGGCAACAAUGACUACUGAGAUUAUAUUCCAUUUAGGGGGGAAGGGGAGGAUUUUUUUUUUAAUUUUAUUUUGAGGGGAUCAAGACAGUCUGAACUUUAGAAAGUAUUGUAAUGCACUGGAGAGAGGGGACACAAGACUCGCCCCCCCCCCUCCACCCCGGAGCAAUUGGUGGGAAACUAGAUCUCAAAGCAGAAAAUGAAAAGUCGAUCUGGGGGACGAUUUUUAAAUAAGUGGGUCAGAGGGACCGAGAGGAGAUGAGGCGAUCAAUCUUAGCCCCCUGACAGCUCCCUCCGAUGGCAUCAAAGAAUUUGGCUCUUUGGGAAAGCCGAGGGAACAGCCGAAAUUCCACAUCCCUUUAAAAGGCCUGGGGGUGGGGGUGAUAGCAAAAGAGAAAGGUGAUUCUGGGAGAGCAGGGGAACAGAUGGGCAAUGGGGACAGAGGGAAGGACGCUGAGUUGGGUGGAAAGUUUGUGUGGAGAACUCCCACGGCUCUGGCCUCCCCUCCCCCUCCUCCUCUCGGCUGCCCAGCAAGGAGGAGAAGGCUGGUUAGCAGAGAAAUGGCAACUCAGCCGGGAGCUGGAACUAGAAACUUUCUGUCAUGUAACAGCCGCGUGGGUGGCGACCCAAUGGUGGUUGGGCUUCGGGUCACGUGACGACUUCUUUGUAGCUCCGGAAGAGAACUGUGAAGUUUAGGUUCCUUGGAAGAAGCAGAGAACGGCAAGGAAAAAAAAAAUCAAGAUUUGGAGGAAUUACUCACAGAGAUGGAAGGUAAGUUAGUUGGUUGGUUGGUUGGUGAUGGCCUAGCCAUCUUGUCUGCUUUUUAAAAUGUGCUUCUCUGCCUUGUUUCCCUAUCUCCUAACUGGGUAUUGCUGGAGGCCUAGGGUUGAGGGGAUCAUCUCCACAGUCGGCUGUGGAUUUCUCUCCAGUGGGUUGGCAGGCGGACCGAACAAGGACUGGAGGACCUUACAAAGCAACUUCUCAGGCCAGGGGGAGGGGAAGGGGCUCCAGCCCGGGUCUUCCCAGCAGCAAGUGUGGCUCUCGCCUCUUUGCCUCCCUAUUUCAGACCUCCGGGCUGCCCCCUCAGAGCGCACGGCCUGCGCCCCUCGUAGCUCUCACCCACCCCAAGACCUCGCCCCUCCGCCGCCCCGGCCCCCCCCCCCCGCCCCUCUCCAAUCACAGGUGUGUUAAUUUGGGCGCUUCUUGGAUUCUACCCUGAGGAGGAGGCGCAUGGUGAGAGGAGAGGUCUGUGUAGGUAGGGUGGGGAUCGCAGGGUCCGUGGUGCUGGUUGGGGGCCAUAGGGGGCGCCCCAUUGUAGUCCAGGUUCCCCGAGGGGUGGUGGGAAAGGUGGUUGAGGCCGUAGAGGGAGGGGCCGGCAGGGGGCGGCAGCGGAUCCGCGUAGCCGCCCCCGCCCACGUACACGGGGCUGCCCUGCAUGGUGGGCGUCCCAUAGGCGCCCCCGUUGGCUUGGAGGACGUGGGGCUCGUAAUCGGCCGCCGGAGUCGGGGGGUACUUCUGCGGGGCGCCGCAGCCUUUGAGAGGGGGCUGGUAGUUGGAGGGCAGCGCGUAGGCAUUCUGGUGGGCUUUGCCGAAGGCGGGCGGGGACGGGCUCUCGUAGCUGGGGGUCAUGGAGUGUAAGGCGUUCAUGAAGCCGGCCGUGGACUGCAUGGGUUGCGGGGGGCUGCCGGCAGGGGAGGGGCCCCCGGACGACGAGGCCAGGCCCUUGGCCUUCUGGUCCUUCUUGUACUUCAUGCGCCGGUUCUGGAACCAGAUCUUGAUCUGCCGCUCGCUGAGGUUCAGCAGGUUGGCCAUCUCCACGCGGCGCGGCCGGCACAGGUAGCGGUUGAAGUGGAACUCCUUCUCCAGCUCCACCAGCUGCGCGCUCGUGUACGCCGUCCGCGCGCGCUUGGACGCCGCCGACCCCGGGGGGCUCUUGUCCCCUCCCCCGCCGCCGCCGCCGCCCCCGCCGCCACCACUGCCGCCGCCUCCGCCGCCGCCGCAGCCCUCCGCUGGAUCCGAGGGGGAGGGGUGGGAAGGGGACAAAAUGAAAUAAAAGAUAAUUACUGAACACGCCGAAAUU